rnacentral:rRNA from 1 species
ACCUCUUGAUAAUGGAUACCUCAUAUAUUUUAUUGAUGAAGAACAUAGUGAAAUGCGAUACUUAGUAUCAAUUGCAAAUUCCCAUGAACUAUCAAGUCCUUGAACGUAGGUUGCAGACAAAGCAAUUAGGCUGAGGGCACAUCUUCCUGGGUGUCA